rnacentral:rRNA from 1 species
UACGUAGGGAGCAAGCGUUGUCCGGAAUCAUUGGGCGUAAAGCGCGCGUAGGUGGUCCCGUAAGUCCGCUGUGAAAGUCAAAGGCUCAACCUUUGAAAGCCGGUGGAUACUGUGGGACUAGAGUACGGAAGAGGCGAGUGGAACUCCUGGUGUAGCGGUGGAAUGCGCAGAUAUCAGGAAGAACACCAACGGCGAAGGCAGCUCGCUGGGACGGUACUGACGCUGAGACGCGAAAGCGUGGGGAGCGAACAGG